UACAUAGGGGGCAAGCGUUGUCCGGAAUUAUUGGGCGUAAAGAGCUCGUAGGCGGUCUGUUGCGUCUGCUGUGAAAACUCGGGGCUUAACCCCGAGCCUGCAGUGGAUACGGGCAGACUAGAGGUAGGUAGGGGAGAAUGGAAUUCCCGGUGUAGCGGUGAAAUGCGCAGAUAUCGGGAGGAACACCGGUGGCGAAGGCGGUUCUCUGGGCCUUACCUGACGCUGAGGAGCGAAAGCGUGGGGAGCGAACAGG
rnacentral:rRNA from 1 species